UUUCCGUAGGUGAACCCGCGGAAGGAUCAUUCAUAAUAAGUGUUUUAUGGCACUUUUUUAAAUCCAUAUCCACCUUGUGUGCAAUGUCAGGGUUGAUUUUUCUCUCGAGAGGAUCAACCCCAAACACCAACUAUAUCUCAACUCUUUGUCUGAAAAAUAUUAUGAAUAAAACAAUUCAAAAUACAACUUUCAACAACGGAUCUCUUGGCUCUC
rnacentral:misc_RNA from 1 species